rnacentral:rRNA from 1 species
GACGAACGCUGGCGGCGUGCCUAAUACAUGCAAGUAGAACGCUGAAGGAGGAGCUUGCUUCUCUGGAUGAGUUGCGAACGGGUGAGUAACGCGUAGGUAACCUGCCUGGUAGCGGGGGAUAACUAUUGGAAACGAUAGCUAAUACCGCAUAAGAGUAGAUGUUGCAUGACAUUUGCUUAAAAGGUGCAAUUGCAUCACUACCAGAUGGACCUGCGUUGUAUUAGCUAGUUGGUGAGGUAACGGCUCACCAAGGCGACGAUACAUAGCCGACCUGAGAGGGUGAUCGGCCACACUGGGACUGAGACACGGCCCAGACUCCUACGGGAGGCAGCAGUAGGGAAUCUGCGGCAAUGGACGGAAGUCUGACCGAGCAACGCCGCGUGAGUGAAGAAGGUUGUCGGAUCGUAAAGCUCUGUUGUAAGAGAAGAACGAGUGUGAGAGUGGAAAGUUCACACUGUGACGGUAUCUUACCAGAAAGGGACGGCUAACUACGUG